rnacentral:rRNA from 1 species
GUCGAGAAUAAUUCACAAUGGACGAAAGUCUGAUGGUGCAACGCCGCGUGGAGGAUGAAGGUCUUCGGAUUGUAAACUCCUGUCAUCGGGGAGUAAGACCUGGCGGUAAAUAGCCGACAGGGUUGAUAGUACCCGAAGAGGAAGGGACGGCUAACUUCGUGCCAGCAGCCGCGGUAAUACGAAGGUCCCAAGCGUUGUUCGGAAUCACUGGGCGUAAAGGGAGCGUAGGCGGCGUGGUAAGUCAGAUGUGAAAUCCCGGGGCUCAACCCCGGAACUGCAUCCGAUACUGCCAUGCUUGAGGGUUGGAGAGGUAGCUGGAAUUCUCGGUGUAGCAGUGAAAUGCGUGGAUAUCGAGAGGAACACUCGUGGCGAAGGCGAGUUACUGGACAGCAUCUGACGCUGAGGCACGAAGGCCAGGGGAGCGAAAGGGAUUAGAAACCCCAGUAGUCC